rnacentral:rRNA from 1 species
UACGUAGGGUGCAAGCGUUGUCCGGAAUUACUGGGCGUAAAGGGCGCGUAGGCGGUUCGAUAAGUCCCGUGUGAAAUCCCUCGGCUCAACUGAGGAACUGCACGGGAAACUGACGGGCUUGAGUUCGGGAGAGGGAAGCGGAAUUCCGGGUGUAGCGGUGAAAUGCGUAGAUAUCCGGAGGAACACCGGUGGCGAAGGCGGCUUCCUGGACCGACACUGACGCUGAGGCGCGAAAGCUAGGGGAGCAAACGGG